AGGGCACCACCAGGAGUGGAGCCUGCGGCUUAAUUUGACUCAACACGGGAAAACUCACCCGGCCCGGACACUGGAAGGAUUGACAGAUUGAGAGCUCUUUCUUGAUUCAGUGGGUGGUGGUGCAUGGCCGUUCUUAGUUGGUGGAGUGAUUUGUCUGGUUAAUUCCGAUAACGAACGAGACUCUAGCCUACUAAAUAGAUAGUCGGCUUACAAACGUCGACUAGACUUCUUAGAGGGACAGGCGGUGAUUCAACCGCACGAAACAGAGCAAUAACAGGUCUGUGAUGCCCUUAGAUGUCCGGGGCCGCACGCGCGCUACACUGAAGUGAUCAGCGUGCUUUUUCAGCCUACUCUGUCAAGAGUGGGAAACCCAAUGAACCUUCUUCGUGAUUGGGAUAGGGGAUUGUAAUUAUUCCCCUUGAGCGAGGAAUUCCCAGUAAGCGCGAGUCAUAAGCUCGCGUUGAUUACGUCCCUGCCCUUUGUACACACCGCCCGUCGCUACUACCGAUUGAAUGUUUU
rnacentral:rRNA from 1 species